UCAACGCUCACCAUGAAGAUCCCUCUCUCCUUAUCCGUGCUCCUAACCAGCCUGUGUGUCCACUGUGUGAAUGGCCAGAGUUUGGACUCUAUUCCUAGUCAUGCAGUACUGAGUAAUCCUGGUGGAACUGUCAGCCUCUCUUGUAAGGCUAUAGGAUAUAAUUUUGGAGAUUAUGGCAUGAGCUGGAUACGACAGCCUCGUGGAAAGCCCUUACAGUGGAUUGGGCACAUCAAUACUGCAAGUGGAGAAACAUUCUACAGUAAAAGUCUUGAAGGAAGAAUUGAAAUAACAAAAGAUAACAGUAAAGGCAUUUCAUACUUCAAGUUGUCUGGCCUGACUGUAGAAGACACAGCUGUGUAUCACUGUGCCCGAAAACACAGUGACACAAACAGAUGACAAGGAUGUACAAAAAGUUCAGUUCCUGAAUUUGAUAUACGUCUGUCUUCCUGAAUACAGUGGGCAGACAAUGUUAAAAUAUAAACUCGCAAUAUUAUGGUGUAAAGGCAGGGAAUAAAAUUAUAUAAAUAAACCCUGAAUGCCCAAAGUACUCCUUCACACAAAUAGCUUAAGAAAAUGUACAGAACAUUAAUCCUACAAUUACUACUACAGUGUAGCUAAUAUGCUACGAUGCCUACUGUAGGUUCUGGUACUAGACUAUAGUACCAGAAUGCCUGGUGUAUAGUACGAUGCCUA